ensembl:misc_RNA Metazoa_SRP Metazoan signal recognition particle RNA
GUUAAUGAUAAUGGGCCUGUAGUCUCAGCCACUCAGGAGACUGAGGUGGGAGGAUCACUUGAGCCCAGGAGUUCUGGGCUGUAGGGUACUGUGCUGAUCAGAUGUCUGUCCUAAGUUCAGCAUCAAUAUGGUGACCUUUCAAGAAUGGAGGGCCAACGGGAUACCUGAGGUGAGGUGAACUGACCCAGGUCAGAAAUGGAGCAGGUCAGAACUCUGGUACGGAUCAGCAGUAGGAUCCUGCCUGUGAAUAGUGAAUAGCCACUGCACUCCAGCCAUGGCAACAUAGCAAGACCCCAUGUUUG